UACGUAGGGGGCGAGCGUUGUCCGGAUUUAUUGGGCGUAAAGAGCUCGUAGGCGGUUUGUUAAGUCGGGUGUGAAAUCUCCACGCUCAACGUGGAGGGGCCACUCGAUACUGCCAUGACUCGAGUCCGGUAGAGGAGUGUGGAAUUCCCGGUGUAGCGGUGAAAUGCGCAGAUAUCGGGGGGAACACCCGUAGCGAAGGCGGCACUCUGGGCCGGAACUGACGCUGAGGAGCGAAAGCGUGGGGAGCAAACAGG
rnacentral:rRNA from 1 species